CCUACGGGAGGCAGCAGUAGGGAAUUUUGGACAAUGGGCGAAAGUCUGACGACGCAACGCCGCGUGGAGGAUGAAGAUUUUCGGAUCGUAAACUCCUGUCGAAUGGGACGAAUGGCCUGGCCGUAAACAACGGUCGGGAAUGACGGUACCGUGAGAGGAAGCCCCGGCUAACUCCGUGCCAGCAGCCGCGGUAAU
rnacentral:rRNA from 1 species